GACGAACGCUGGCGGCGUGCUUAACACAUGCAAGUCGAACGGUGAGCCCCUGCUUUCGUCUGUUGUUCGUGUCGCACGCGUGUGUGUCACACGAGUAUACCCUCCCCUACACUUUGGUAUACCUUCAGGACACUGUGGCUAAUACCGUAUAGUAGCUCCUGCCGCAUGCUGGUGGUUGGAAAGUUUCGGCGGUUGGGGAUGGACUCGCGGCUUAUCAGCUUGUUGGUGGGGUAGUGGCUUACCAAGGCGUUGACGGGUAGCCGGCCUGAGAGGGUGACCGGCCACACUGGGACUGAGAUACGGCCCAGACUCCUACGGGAGGCAGCAGUGGGGAAUAUUGCACAAUGGGCGGAAGCCUGAUGCAGCAACGCCGCGUGAGGGAUGACGGCCUUCGGGUUGUAAACCGCUUUCAGUAGGGAAGAAGCGAGAGUGACGGUAACGGGUGAAGAAGCACCGGCUAACUACGUG
rnacentral:rRNA from 1 species